GCGGGGAAAGCGCGGCCUCACCUCCAGGGGGCCACCCCACCGGGCUAGGCCGGCCCCACCACCCUCGGCCGCCAAUUUCCCCUGCCAGGGUCUGUCGCCAC
rnacentral:sRNA from 1 species